UACGUAGGGGCCAAGCGUUAUCCGGAUUUACUGGGUGUAAAGGGAGCGUAGACGGUUAUGCAAGUCAGAAGUGAAAGCCCAAAGCUCAACUUCGGGACUGCUUUUGAAACUGUGUAACUAGAGUGCAGGAGGGGUAAGCGGAAUUCCUAGUGUAGCGGUGAAAUGCGUAGAUAUUAGGAGGAACACCGGCGGCGAAGGCGGCUUACUGGACUGUAACUGACGUUGAGGCUCGAAAGCGUGGGGAGCAAACAGG
rnacentral:rRNA from 1 species